rnacentral:rRNA from 1 species
GACGGAGGGUGCUAGCGUUGUUCGGAAUUACUGGGCGGAAAGGGCGCGUAGGCGGCCGGCUGCGUCGGAUGUGAAAGCCCGGGGCUCAACCCCGGAACGGCAUCCGAUACGGGCUGGCUGGAGACCGGGAGAGGAGGGUGGAAUAGCCAGUGUAGAGGUGAAAUUCGUAGAUAUUGGCUGGAACACCGGUGGCGAAAGCGGCUCUCUGGCCCGGUUCUGACGCUGAGGCGCGAAAGCGUGGGGAGCAAACAGG